rnacentral:rRNA from 1 species
CCUACGGGAGGCAGCAGUAGGGCAUCUUCCACAAUGGGCGAAAGCCUGAUGGAGCAACGCCGCGUGGGUGAAGAAGGUCUUCGGAUCGUACAACCCUGUUGUUAGAGAAGAAAGUGCACUAGAGUAACUGUUCACGUUUCGACGGUAUCUAACCAGAAAGCCACGGCUAACGACGUGCCAGCAGCCGCGGUAAUACGUAGGUGGCAAGCGUUAUCCGGAUUUAUUGGGCGUAAAGGGAACGCAGGCGGUCUGUUAAGUCUGAUGUGAAAGCCUUCGGCUUAACCGGAGUAGUGCAUUGGAAACUGGGAGACUUGAGUGCAGAAGAGGAGAGUGGAACUCCAUGUGUAGCGGUGAAAUGCUUAGAUAUAUGGAAGAACACCAGUGGCGAAAGCGGCUCUCUGGUCUGUAACUGACGCUGAGGUUCGAAAGCGUGGGUAGCAAACAGGAUUAGAUACCCCAGUAGUC